UACGAAGGUCCCGAGCGUUGUUCGGAAUCACUGGGCGUAAAGGGCGCGUAGGCGGCGCGGGAAGUCAGAUGUGAAAUCCCGGGGCUCAACCCCGGAACUGCAUCCGAUACUGCCGUGCUAGAGGAUUGGAGAGGUAGCUGGAAUUCUUGGUGUAGCAGUGAAAUGCGUGGAGAUCAAGAGGAACACUCGUGGCGAAAGCGAGCUACUGGACAAUAUCUGACGCUGAGGCUCGAAGGCCAGGGUAGCGAAAGGG
rnacentral:rRNA from 1 species